GAACCCGUUCCCGAGGUACCUCAAGACUCUCUUGGGUCUCUUUUUUCUCUCCUCUUGUCAAGACAUCAAGUGCAGCAAGUCGAAGUGCAGCAAGAAUCACAUGGAAUCGAUCAACCGUAGCGACCAACGUCAUCCCAUGUUUGCUCGCACACACGCACACGAUGCAAUUCCACUUAAAUGCAUUACGAGCUCUCACUCACUUUUUCCCCUAUAAGCCCUUGCCUGUCUUCGCCUUCGAUGCCGAUCUUUCGUUCGUCUUAAGGCUCAGAUAAUCAAACACACUCUCACACACUCGCUUGACUUCUCGUUGUCUUUUCUUCCGGUGCGUUUGCUGUGUUGGUUUGCUUUCUUGUGUUUCUCUUAAAGUAGCCGACUUGCUCGAAGAUCUCUUUAACCGAUACCGAGAAUGGAGGAAGCGGAACAUAAAUCUAUCGCCUUAAACGUUAGAUUAGGCGAUAUGGAAGGAAAGAGGUCCACCACAUAAUCGGCUGAACGGUAUCCGACCCCGAACAGAUGACUCAGCUUCCAGAAUUGACUUGUACCGCCGGAUCCUUUUCACCCUGACGAAGGUAAACCACUCACAGGCAAAGCAAACAGAGAGUACAGCAGCAGACGAACGAAGAAAAAAAAGGUUCUAUUUGUUUCCAUUUUUGCCACUCAACAAAAGUGCACGAUGGUGUUUGCUAAUUUACACAACAGCAACAACAGAGCCAGUGCCAGAGAACUCGGGGUAUUCGGAAUAGCCGAAUAAUUGGCUGACCGAUGCGUGUCCGUUGAUCGGUGGCCCAAGCGAGAGAGAGAGAGGUUGCAUGCAGGUCUUGGCAAGUCAAUUAGGAGUAUAAAUUGGGAUACAGGGUCAGCAAUUGGGGUUCUUGUUGUUGAGUUUUGCAUAGCCGGAACAGCAUAAUAGGGGCCUAUCGAACCAAAGGCUCCGAAGCUUGUCAAGGUGACAAAUGGUGCACAGUGGAACGCGCAGGGGAAGGUAAUUUAUGCAAAGACUUUAAUUUAAUCCGUUUAAAUUUAAAUGUUCCAAUUGAAAAGGUGAACGGUUCGGAAAAAUAAAGUAGGGAAAUUAAUUGCACCUCAAAGUCCCUUUUUUACGAUAAGAAAAAGAAACAAGCUUAUCCAUAAAGUAGUAAUAUUAUUACCUUCGAGCAACUCACAGUAGAUAACGCAUUCUAAUGCUAAAUAAAUGCUGAAGUAAAAAUUUCAAAUAAUUUAAAUUCAACAAAACCACGAAAUGCUGCUUCAUCCUUCUCUCUACACGAGUAAUUAAUGAGCCAAUACAUCAUUUUGAACAUAUCACGCCCAUCCAAUGCCAAGCGUUAGAAAGCAACACCGAUCGUAACACAUAGUGGUCAACGGUGUAUGCAUCGAGCAUGAAAAAUGUGCACUCAUUUCCCUUUUCUCAUAGGAACCGACAACGGCAACCACACAAUCAACCUGCAUCAGCAGAAGAAACUCUCUUAAAAAAAACCCAUUACUUCCUUGCUAUUCUUUAAACCGAAAAAAACCCUUCCAAACCACAGCAAGAGAGCAUAACAAAUGGCAACCAACAGGGGAAAAAAGCUUCCCGAAAACCAUACGAUCAUAAUUUCAUCCCAUGUAUGAAAGCUUCCAAUUGCAGUGCGGUUUUUUUUCUUCAUCUACAAAGCACCGAAUUUGAUCUAUUUUCCACGCCGAAUUUGCUGAGCCAUAGUCCCAGUGGGCAGCAUGCAUACGUGAAAAUCAGAUUGGUGAAGAUACGAAAAGCGAAGGCCGGCACAGCCAUAGGAGUAGACGGGUCUGACCGCGAGCGGGUGUAAAAUAUUGGAUUACACGCACAAAACCCGGUACAAUAAGAUGACGGAAGGGAAAAGUAAUAGGUUGGCAUCGAAGCUUAACAGGCCCAGGCGUCCUCGAUCGUUCAUCAUACGCCAAUGAAAAGCGUGAAAAGGAUAUUGUUUAAAAUCUAGAACGAAUGGGUAACGUGUGCCUCAUUUGACGGGCAGGCCAGGUACAGUCGUAUUCAUCAAUCAGCUGAUGAUGGAAAGGAGAGCGUGUGCGAAAUGAGACGAGAUGAAAAAUGCAUUUCAGCAUUGAGAGAAACGUUUGCAAAGUAACUAAAAAGCCAUAAACAUAAAUAUAUUUAUUCCUUCAAGUCAUAAAGACCGUUCUGGACAUACUGGUAACAAUGUUGAAAAAAAAAUAAAUGAAAAAGUAAUAAACAACUUUGACAAUUUACAAUUGACUAAAGGCAAGAUCUUUAAAGUAAGAAGUGAAUAAUAAAAUUACCCCUACACCGACAAAUUCAAAACUAAAACAAGAUUAACAAGUUUUAACUAAAAUAGUAAAUUCAGAAAAAGACAAGUAAUAACAAAAAAUGUCAAAACAUAAGGUAUAAAUGCUUCAACAUUAAAUAACCAGCUUAAACUCGAAACAAAAGUCAUGAAAUAAAAACGGUAAAGAGAAACGAGCAACCCUUAUAAAAUAGGAUAAGAAGACAUCAAUGAAGAAAUAAACUCAACCAAAAGUUGAAAACAAACACACUUGAAAAGCAAAAAACUAA